rnacentral:piRNA from 1 species
UGCUAGGUUUUCAUCCCUACUGUCUUUGG